rnacentral:rRNA from 1 species
GCACAGAGAAGCUUGCUUCUUGGGUGGCGAGUGGCGAACGGGUGAGUAAUAUAUCGGAACGUACCGAGUAAUGGGGGAUAACUAAUCGAAAGAUUAGCUAAUACCGCAUAUUCUCUGAGGAGGAAAGCAGGGGACCUUCGGGCCUUGCGUUAUUCGAGCGGCCGAUAUCUGAUUAGCUAGUUGGUGGGGUAAAGGCCUACCAAGGCGACGAUCAGUAGCGGGUCUGAGAGGAUGAUCCGCCACACUGGGACUGAGACACGGCCCAGACUCCUACGGGAGGCAGCAGUGGGGAAUUUUGGACAAUGGGCGCAAGCCUGAUCCAGCCAUGCCGCGUGUCUGAAGAAGGCCUUCGGGUUGUAAAGGACUUUUGUCAGGGAAGAAAAGGCUGUUGCUAAUACCGACAGCUGAUGACGGUACCUGAAGAAUAAGCACCGGCUAACUACGUGCCAGCAGCCGCGGUAAUACGUAGGGUGCGAGCGUUAAUCGGAAUUACUGGGCGUAAAGCGAGCGCAGACGGUUACUUAAGCAGGAUGUGAAAUCCCCGGGCUCAACCUGGGAACUGCGUUCUGAACUGGGUGACUAGAGUGUGUCAGAGGGAGGUAGAAUUCCACGUGUAGCAGUGAAAUGCGUAGAGAUGUGGAGGAAUACCGAUGGCGAAGGCAGCCUCCUGGGAUAACACUGACGUUCAUGCUCGAAAGCGUGGGUAGCAAACAGGAUUAGAUACCCUGGUAGUCCACGCCCUAAACGAUGUCAAUUAGCUGUUGGGCAACUUGAUUGCUUAGUAGCGUAGCUAACGCGUGA